UGCCAGCAGCCGCGGUAAUACGAAGGGACCUAGCGUAGUUCGGGAUUACUGGGCUUAAAGAGUUCGUAGGUGGUUGAAAUAGUUGGUGGUGAAAUCCCAGAGCUUAACUCUGGAACUGCCAUCAAAACUUUUCAGCUAGAGUAUGAUAGAGGAAAGCAGAAUUUCUAGUGUAGAGGUGAAAUUGGUAGAUAUUAGAAAGAAUACCAAUUGCGAAGGCAGCUUUCUGGAUCAUUACUGACACUGAUGAACGAAAGCAUGGGUAGCGAAGAGGAUUAGAUA
rnacentral:rRNA from 1 species